rnacentral:rRNA from 1 species
CCUACGGGGGGCAGCAGUGGGGAAUAUUGCACAAUGGAGGGAACCCUGAUGCAGCGACGCCGCGUGAGUGAAGAAGUAUUUCGGUAUGUAAAGCUCUAUCAGCAGGGAAGAAAAUGACGGUACCUGACUAAGAAGCCCCGGCUAACUACGUGCCAGCAGCCGCGGUAAUACGUAGGGGGCAAGCGUUAUCCGGAUUUACUGGGUGUAAAGGGAGCGCAGACGGCUGUGCAAGUCUGGAGUGAAAGGCGGGGGCCCAACCCCCGGACUGCUCUGGAAACUGUAAAGCUGGAGUGCAGGAGAGGUAAGCGGAAUUCCUAGUGUAGCGGUGAAAUGCGGAGAUAUUAGGAGGAACACCAGUGGCGAAGGCGGCUUACUGGACUGCAACUGACGUUGAGGCUCGAAAGCGUGGGGAGCAAACAGGAUUAGAUACCCUUGUAGUC